GCGGGGGUGCCGGAGCGGUCAAACGGGACAGACUCAAGAUCUGUUGGCUUAGUGCCUACGCAGGUUCAAAUCCUGUCCCUCGCA
rnacentral:tRNA from 2 species